rnacentral:rRNA from 1 species
GACGAACGCUGGCGGCGUGCCUAAUACAUGCAAGUAGAACGCUGAAGAGAGGAGCUUGCUCUUCUUGGAUGAGUUGCGAACGGGUGAGUAACGCGUAGGUAACCUGCCUUGUAGCGGGGGAUAACUAUUGGAAACGAUAGCUAAUACCGCAUAACAAUGGAUGACACAUGUCAUUUAUUUGAAAGGGGCAAUUGCUCCACUACAAGAUGGACCUGCGUUGUAUUAGCUAGUAGGUGAGGUAAUGGCUCACCUAGGCGACGAUACAUAGCCGACCUGAGGGGGUGAUCGGCCACACUGGGACUGAGACACGGCCCAGACGCCUACGGGAGGCAGCAGUAGGGAAGCUUCGGCAAUGGGGGCAACCCUGACCGAGCAACGCCGCGUGAGUGAAGAAGGUUUUCGGAUCGUAAAGCUCUGUUGUAAGUCAAGAACGGGUGUGAGAGUGGAAAGUUCACACUGUGACGGUAGCUUACCAGAAAGGGACGGCUAACUACGUG